rnacentral:miRNA from 11 species
CUUUCGAGAAAUAAUCAGAAUC